GCAGGGGUGGCGGAGCCUGGAAAACGCGUAGGACUUAGAAUCCUAUCCCUUAGGGGUUCAAGAGUUCAAAUCUCUUCCCCUGCA
rnacentral:tRNA from 1 species